CACACACACACACACACACACACACACACAGUUCACAUAGAACAGUCAGUAGCAGAUUAUUUCCCUUUAGGCUGAGGUAGGAGAUUCAUCCCAGAGACAGAUUUGAUCGUGUUGUGUGAGAUCCACUCUGUUUGGUUUUGUAGUUCGGGGGUUUUGUUGUGUGACAGUCGGUGACACUGUUCCCUCUCACACACUGAACAGAUGAGAGAUAACAGAGUGGAAAUAAAGCACGGCGGUGAUUCAUCAGUUUUACACGAAGGC